CAGCAGCCACGGGAAUACGAAGGGUGCAAGCGUUAAUCGGAAUUACUGGGCGUAAAGCGUGCGUAGGCGGUGAGUUAAGUCUGCUGUGAAAUCCCCGGGCUCAACCUGGGAAUGGCAGUGGAUACUGGCUCGCUAGAGUGUGUCAGAGGAUGGUGGAAUUCCCGGUGUAGCGGUGAAAUGCGUAGAGAUCGGGAGGAACAUCAGUGGCGAAGGCGGCCAUCUAGGACAACACUGACGCUGAGGCACAAAAGCGUGGGGAGCAAACAGGAUUAGAUACCCCCGUAGUCCCUGUCUCUUAUAU
rnacentral:rRNA from 1 species